AAAAUUGUAAAUACUUUGAAUAUCUACAUCCAACAUUUUAAACUUCAAUCGAAAUUUGUAAUCUAUAGCAAUAUUGGUGGCCCCUAUUUUUUUUUCUUCCAGACCCCAGAGCAUAUUUUUCUAUGUUAAUUUAAUCCCUGUAAUCUGAAUUUUAUGCGAGUUAGCUUAAGUCAGUAAUUUAAUAAUCGACUAUUAAUAAUAUUAUCCAAAUCUCAUAUUUAUAUGUGCAUAUCCUUAUUCUAAUUAAAUUAAUUUAAAUUUCAAUAUACCCUUUUCACAAGUCCACAUCAGCUUCUCCGGCAUCUGAAUCUCAAUUCUAAACUUAUACCCUCUUCCCUAAAACCUACAAUCUAAAACUUCCAUCAUUUGCCAUAAGUACAUACAUAAUAGUACGUAUUUAGUUUAACGCAUACAAAAUUUCCCUCGAAUUAUACAUAAUGUCCUAAAUAGUGAAGGAUCUACUUCAACUCUCCAAAUCUCCAACUUCAUCGUUUAAACAUUUAACCACGACAAAUCUGGCUUAAACGAGAGAGCGUGUGUACAGAUUUUGAUAUGCUUGCAUCAGUAAAAUUUAUUUGUUUUCGUCAUUUAAUUUUAUUUCAAUAACAUCAUGGAAAGGGAUAUUUUGGGAGUAGGAUAUUUGAUAUAUGGAAGGAUAUGCUGAAAAGCAGGGUGCUGGAUGAAGACGAGGAGCUUGCCUAGAUUGGUUGAUGGGGAAUGGAUGAAUGUUCGAAAUUUUAGACCGCUCAAUAUGAUGUUUGUAAAGCAAUUUUGCGGUGUUAUGUGAUAGUAAACAUAAUGUCUGUCAUAAAGAUGAGCUGGAGCAUGGUUUUGGGAAUACAUAUAAGGUAUAAGCGGACGGUGAUGUUGGGCAUGAAAGUGCCACAUGUGCAAUCGAUAGAUUUACUAUAAUGGUCGCUGUUUUAUUGCCCCCAGGCUGGAUCCCCGGAAAAUCAAGGAAAGAGAUGAUAUCACAGCUUGAGAUGACGUCGACCGACGACGGACGUAGGAGUAGAACGAGGAUGGUCUGCUAUACGGUGCUACAUCCACAGCCCUCAACUAUCUCGAAGGUUUCAAGAAACCCUUCCGUCGUCAUCGCUGCCACCGCGCGCUAGGUACGCAAAACCCAGCGAUAUACUUUAUUUGAAUGGCAGGCAUCAGGAUCCGAUUGGAAUUUAUAUUCGUAACUAUGAAUUUAAUAUGAGAACCACCACAGCAUGCGCUGGUGCUGCGCACCUCCAACACAAAGAUGGGGCCACGAGCUUUAUACCCAGGAUGGAAUGGUAUACUGGUCUGGUGCCACAAAACCCAUCACCGCCGCCGCCGCUAGCGGCAGGUUUUAUCAAGGUGGUGUAUUGUACAAGAGCUAUAUUGACAUUGGAGGUGCUUCCAAGCCGCCGGGAGCGAGACGAGAUACCCCAGAUACAGAUCGAAUAAACCGGAGCUUUGGCUGAUGUUAAAAUUGUUCAUUUCUUGCUUUGAUGAUUUUUCAACCCUGUGGCCCUGUGUGGUUCGUUUUUUGUAUUCCUUCAAUAUUCUGAACGGCUAGAAAUAGAAGAACACCAUGAAGUAUUUUUGGUUUACAAGCAUUUGCUAGCUUCCUACAGCUCCAUAGGUACUCGUGCUAUUGACUGUAACCAAAAGGUCGUUGUAACGUGGGCUGCGCUAUGAUUCUGAUGGUGCCUCGUCGGCGUGGUGGCUGCUAUGGCAUUCGGGUUACAAUUUUGUUCUUAUUUUUCAUAUUGAAAGUUAAUAAUUGUAUUGCCAAAAGGAUCUGGAUUUUUGGAUUAUGGAAAUAUGUUACACUUUUGUAUGAAAAAUUCAUAUCUUGAUGGAAUGGGUGUUUUUGGGUCUGUCGUAAAAGGUGUGUGAUUAUUUUUAUAGACAACCUUCACAAA